GCAGGGCGUGCUUGAGGAUCACGGUGCGGUAGGGAAGCCCCUUCAGCACGGCCGUGCGGAUGUAGUUGGUGAGCAUAACCUCGGCCAUCGACGCACGGGUCAUGCGGGCGAUGUAACCGAAAUCAUACAAAACCAGAACAAGGACCGGCAUGAUGAGC
rnacentral:ncRNA from 1 species